GCCGCACUGCGAAAGUGCGAGAAUGUAACGUUAGAAAAUUGCGUCACUUUUUUGUGGUGGCUGUCAUGGUUCAUCGAUUUAUAAGACGUUAUCACGUCAAAAAAGUCAAAAAAAGUUUCACAAAAAUCUUUACAAUUUAAACUUUUCUCCAUCAAUCGGUAUCCGUAUCGGUAACGAACAGGAAGUCCACUUUUCAAACUUCAAAUUGAAAAUAAAAACUGACUGAAAGGAACCUGAAAACCCCUCCUUAUAAAUACGCCACUGCAGGAAUGACGGUCAUGUUCAUGUAUGUACCAAUAAAAAUUUGGUCCCAAUUGCUAAUUGGUGUUGUUAUUAGUUGCCAAAGAUGCCAAAAGCGGUCCGAUUCUACAUGGCAUAGCUCCAAAGCAUAAGAAAAAACAAAACCAAUCUGAAUUCUUAAAUACCUAACCUACCUUAUUGCUAUUAAAUUAGUUUUAAUUGGUCUUUUUUUAUUUCGUUUCUCUCGUCUGGGAU